GAAGUGAAGCGAACCCUAACCCUAACCCUAGAAUCCACGCCCCCGCGGCGCUCUAUAAAGAUCCGACGGCGUCAUCAUCAUCCCCUUGCGCUCCCGGCCGAGGCAUUGAGCUCCUCGUGACUGGCUCUCUCUCAGUGGGAGGAUCUGUCUUUGAAGAGGGCAAAUGACGAGCUUUUUAUAGUGAUUGAGUACUCAUGCUCUGCUUUUGAGUAUAAUGAUUCAAUACUUUGAAUAGGAAGAUCUGAUGCUUCUCUUCUCUGAUAUUUUUCUCAUCGUAUUGGUUUUGUUUUUCAUUAUCAAUUUAAACAGAAGCCAGUGAUGACGAAUUGGAAUAAAAUCCUGAAGGCAAGUUUUUAUGGGCUUGGCUUUUGGUGUUGAAAUUUCUGAACUAGGACGGUCUGAGGCUUUUUCUGUGUAUACCUGUGUUUAUACACACACACACAUUGUUUCCUCCAUUACUGAAUCAAUAGAUGGUAUUGAUCAGUACCAUACAAAUGGCGAAUAAGAGUCAAACAAUUGUCUUGUUUCGUUUGGUCCUUUUCUUUUGUCUAUUCAUUGUUGUUUCAAGAAAGCAAAAGCGUUGUGGAUGAUGAGACAUAGAAAUUACAGUUAUCCCUGGCUGAUGCAUCAGGUGCUGAAAUAUGUAAAUCUGACACAACCGCUGUACUUCUGUUUGCUUGCUUGAAAAAUUGGAGGGGGAAAUCUUUGCCGUUCCUUCUCAAUUCUGCUUAUGUGAUCACACAUUAGCAUAAAAGCAGCCACGAUGUAGGAGAAGGGCUAGGACUUCCGCCAUGUUUUCGGGGAAGUGGGAAAUGAAUGGAAUCGCUGUUCCUGCACUUAUUUUCAUUCCAUUGUUUGGCAUGUGUAGGAAAUAAGCAUUUUGAAGUAAAUGCCUAAUUCCAUCAAAGGAAUGAGUAGGCAUUCCUUCCUUCUUUAAUUCCACUUCAAUUUUUUUGUUUC